UACGAAGGGGGCGAGCGUUGUUCGGAAUUACUGGGCGUAAAGAGCGUGUAGGCGGCCCGGUAAGUCCGCUGUGAAAGUCGGGGGCUCAACCCUCGGAUGCCGGUGGAUACUGUCGGGCUUGAGUACGGAAGAGGCGAGUGGAAUUCCUGGUGUAGCGGUGAAAUGCGCAGAUAUCAGGAGGAACACCAAUUGCGAAGGCAGCUCGCUGGGACGUUACUGACGCUGAGACGCGAAAGCGUGGGGAGCAAACAGG
rnacentral:rRNA from 1 species